rnacentral:rRNA from 1 species
GACAGAGGUUGCAAACGUUGUUCGGAAUCACUGGGCAUAAAGCGCACGUAGGCGGGCUCUUAAGUCGGUGGUGAAAUCCUGGAGCUCAACUCCAGAACUGCCUCCGAUACUGGGAGUCUUCGAGUCCGGGAGAGGUGAGUGGAACUGCGAGUGUAGAGGUGAAAUUCGUAGAUAUUCGCAAGAACACCAGUGGCGAAGGCGGCUCACUGGCCCGGUACUGACGCUGAGGUGCGAAAGCGUGGGGAGCAAACAGG